CCUACGGGGGGCAGCAGUGAGGAAUAUUGGUCAAUGGGCGGGAGCCUGAACCAGCCAAGUCGCGUGAGGGACGACGGUCCUAUGGAUUGUAAACCUCUUUUGUCGGGGAACAAAGGCGCCCACGGGUGGGCGGAUGAGUGUACCCGAAGAAAAAGCAUCGGCUAACUCCGUGCCAGCAGCCGCGGUAAUACGGAGGAUGCGAGCGUUAUCCGGAAUUACUGGGUGUAAAGGGAGCGUAGGCGGGACUGCAAGUUGGGUGUCAAAUCUACCGGCUCAACCGGUAGCCGCACUCAAAACUGCAGUUCUUGAGUGAAGUAGAGGCAGGCGGAAUUCCUAGUGUAGCGGUGAAAUGCGUAGAUAUUAGGAGGAACACCAGUGGCGAAGGCGGCCUGCUGGGCUUUUACUGACGCUGAGGCUCGAAAGUGUGGGGAGCAAACAGGAUUAGAUACCCGAGUAGUC
rnacentral:rRNA from 1 species